rnacentral:rRNA from 1 species
AGUGAACGCUGGCGGUAGGCCUAACACAUGCAAGUCGAACGGCAGCACAGGAGAGCUUGCUCUCUGGGUGGCGAGUGGCGGACGGGUGAGGAAUACAUCGGAAUCUACUCUGUCGUGGGGGAUAACGUAGGGAAACUUACGCUAAUACCGCAUACGACCUACGGGUGAAAGCAGGGGACCUUCGGGCCUUGCGCGAUUGAAUGAGCCGAUGUCGGAUUAGCUAGUUGGCGGGGUAAAGGCCCACCAAGGCGACGAUCCGUAGCUGGUCUGCGAGGAUGAUCAGCCACACUGGAACUGAGACACGGUCCAGACUCCUACGGGAGGCAGCAGGGGGGAAUAUUGGACAAUGGGCGCAAGCCUGAGCCAGCCAUACCGCGUGGGUGAAGAAGGCCUUCGGGUUGUAAAGCCCUUUUGUUGGGAAAGAAAUCCAGCUGGCUAGUACCCGGUUGGGAUGACGGUACCCAAAGAAUAAGCACCGGCUAACUUCGUGCCAGCCGCCGCCGUAA